AACGAACGCUGGCGGCAUGCCUAACACAUGCAAGUCGAACGAGACCUUCGGGUCUAGUGGCGCACGGGUGCGUAACGCGUGGGAACCUGCCCUUAGGUUCGGAAUAACUCCCCGAAAGGGGUGCUAAUACCGGAUAAUGUCUUCGGCCCAAAGAUUUAUCGCCUUUGGAUGGGCCCGCGUUGGAUUAGCUAGUUGGUAGGGUAAAAGCCUACCCAGGCGACGAUCCAUAGCUGGUCUGAGAGGAUGGUCAGCCACACUGGGACUGAGACACGGCCCAGACUCCUACGGGAGGCAGCAGUGGGGAAUAUUGGACAAUGGGCGAAAGCCUGAUCCAGCAAUGCCGCGUGAGUGAUGAAGGCCUUAGGGUUGUAAAGCUCUUUUACCCGGGAUGAUAAUGACAGUACCGGGAGAAUAAGCUCCGGCUAACUCCGUG
rnacentral:rRNA from 1 species